rnacentral:rRNA from 1 species
UACGUAGGGUGCAGGCGUUAAUCGGAAUUACUGGGCGUAAAGCGUGCGCAGGCGGUUUGCUAAGACAGGUGUGAAAUCCCCGGGCUUAACCUGGGAACUGCGCUUGUAACUGGCAAGCUUGAGUGUGGCAGAGGGGGGUGGAAUUCCUGGUGUAGCGGUGAAAUGCGCAGAUAUCAGGAGGAACACCGGUGGCGAAGGCGGGUCUCUGGGCCGAAAUUGGACGCUGAGACGCGAAAGCGUGGGGAGCAAACAGG